UAGGGAAUAUUUGAAAUGGACGCAAGUCUGAUCUAGCAACACCGCGUGUGCGAAGAAGGCCUUCGGGUCGUAAAGCACUUUUUGGAAGGAAUAGGAAGGAAUGUACUUCCAGAAUAAGUCUCGGCUAACUACGUGCCAGCAGCCGCGGUAACACGUAGGAGGCGAACGUUAUCCGGAUUUACUGGGCGUAAAGCGCGUGUAGGUGGUUCUGUAAGUAGGGCGUGAAAGCUCCUGGCUCAACUGGGAGAGGCCGUUCUAAACUACAGAACUAGAGGGUGGUAGAGGGAGGUGGAAUUCCAGGUGUAGCGGUGGAAUGCGCAGAUAUCUGGAGGAACACCAGUGGCGAAGGCGGCCUCCUGGACCAUUCCUGACACUCAGACGCGAAAGCUAGGGUAGCAAACG
rnacentral:rRNA from 1 species